UACAGGGGGGGCAAGCGUUGUUCGGAAUUAUUGGGCGUAAAGGGUUCGUAGGCGGUCGACUCAGUCAGACGUGAAAUCCCUCGGCUUAACCCCGGGCGUGCAGUGGAUACGGGCUGGCUGGAGGCAGGCAGGGGAGAACGGAAUUCCCGGUGUAGCGGUGAAAUGCGCAGAUAUCGGGAGGAACACCGGUGGCGAAGGCGGUUCUCUGGGCCUGUACUGACGCUGAGGAGCGAAAGCGUGGGGAGCGAACAGG
rnacentral:rRNA from 1 species